GGUUAUUUAGCUUAAAUAAAGCAAGUGUUUUGAAAGUACUAGAUAAGAAUUAAUGUUCUUAAUAACCG
rnacentral:tRNA from 1 species